UACGGGGGGGGCAAGCGUUGUUCGGAAUUACUGGGCGUAAAGGGCUCGUAGGUGGCCAACUAAGUCGGACGUGAAAUCCCUCAGCUUAACUGGGGAACUGCGUCCGAUACUGGAUGGCUCGAGUUUGGGAGAGGGAUGUGGAAUUCCAGGUGUAGCGGUGAAAUGCGUAGAUAUCUGGAGGAACACCGGUGGCGAAGGCGGCAUCCUGGACCGGUAUUGACGCUGAGGCGCGAAAGCCAGGGGAGCAAACGGG
rnacentral:rRNA from 1 species